GCAGACAAUAUAAAAGGCCCCACUUCUUCAAGGUUUCUCAUAUACUCAACCACCCGUACAGUGACAACAUCUUCUUGGAAAUCAGCAGGGAUUACUCAAAGCACAGAAAAGAUGAGCCAACAACAACAGAGAGGAGGGAGCUGCUGCUGCUGUAGCUGUUGUGGUGGUGGAAGCGGUGGCCGCGGUGGAUGCUGCAGUGGCGGAUCUUCAUCUCAACAAAGCCAGAGAAGUGGUGGAUGCUGUGGUGGCAGCAGUAGUGGCAGAAGUGGUGGGUGCUGUGGUGGCAGCAGUGGUGGCAGCAGUGGUGGCUGCUGUGGAGGAGGAUCUUCUCAGCAGAAGCAACAGAAAAUUCCUCCUCAGAAGCUGAAGUAGAUGCCUUCAAUAAGAAUCAGAAUGCAUGAUGGCCAUCACUUACCGGUCUCCUUCCAUUCUUGCACGCCAGCCUUGGCUAACAUUUCUGAAUCACAAGCCCAGUCAUCUGAUUCGCAAAAUGUAGCGUUUCAUUUUCCUGGUUUGGAAUCCUUGUGAAGGCAUUAAAAAGUUUCAUUCAAACGG